UACGGAGGGUGCAAGCGUUGUUCGGAAUUACUGGGCGUAAAGCGCGUGUAGGCGGCCGAUUAAGUCUGGUGUGAAAGCCCGGGGCUCACCCCCGGAAGUGCGCUGGAAACUGGUCGGCUAGAGUAUGGGAGAGGAAAGUGGAAUUCCCGGUGUAGCGGUGAAAUGCGUAGAUAUUGGGAGGAACACCAGCGGCGAAGGCGGCUUUCUGGACCAAUACUGACGCUGAGACGCGAAAGCGUGGGGAGCAAACAGG
rnacentral:rRNA from 1 species